UAUCUCAGUUGGUAAAGAAUCUGCCUGCAAUGCAGAAGACCCUGGUUUCAUAUACCUG
rnacentral:tRNA from 1 species